rnacentral:rRNA from 1 species
AAAUUGAAGAGUUUGAUCAUGGCUCAGAUUGAACGCUGGCGGCAGGCCUAACACAUGCAAGUCGAACGGUAACAGGAAGAAGCUUGCUUCUUUGCUGACGAGUGGCGGACGGGUGAGUAAUGUCUGGGAAGCUGCCUGAUGGAGGGGGAUAACUACUGGAAACGGUAGCUAAUACCGCAUAACGUCGCAAGACCAAA